GGAGAGUUGGCUGAGUGGUCUAAGGCGCACGACUGGAAAUCGUGUGUGGGGUGAUACCUCACCUAGGGUUCAAAUCCCUAACUCUCCGCCA
rnacentral:tRNA from 2 species